AUCUAUAUAGUUUAGCAGUAAAACACUACAUUUUCACUGUAGCGAUAAAGGCUCAUCCUUUUAUAGAUU
rnacentral:tRNA from 1 species